AUGAAGUUGUAUCUUGUUUUUUUAAUAUCCCUGUCAUAUUUUUCAGAUGUUAAAUGUGAUGUGCAACUUGCCCAGUCAGACCCAGUGGUGAUAAAGCCGGGAGGGUCUCACAAACUGUCCUGCACAGCCUCUGGCUUCACAUUCAGUGACCACUGGAUGAGCUGGGUUAGACAGGCUCCUGGGAAAGGAUUACAGUGGGUGUCGGCUAUGUACGAUGCAAGUAACAUACAAUAUGCUGAUUCAGUUAGAGGAAGAUUCACCAUCUCCAGAGACAAUAAUAACAACAAGGUAUAUCUGCAAAUGAACAAUCUACAAAUGGAAGACACUGCCGUGUAUUACUGUGCUAGAGGCACAGUGACAAAUGUUCUCAGAGCAGUGCAGCAAAUACAUUAA